GACUGAAGGGAUAGCUCAGUUUGGUAGAAUGUGAGGCUCUGAAUCUCAGCGCUGUGGGUUUGGGCCCCGCUUUGGAACUGGCA